AAAUGACGGUACCUGACUAAGAAGCUCCGGCUAAAUACGUGCCAGCAGCCGCGGUAAUACGUAUGGAGCAAGCGUUAUCCGGAUUUACUGGGUGUAAAGGGAGUGUAGGUGGCCAGGCAAGUCAGAAGUGAAAGCCCGGGGCUCAACCCCGGGACUGCUUUUGAAACUGCAGGGCUAGGGUGCAGGAGGGGCAAGUGGAAUUCCUAGUGUAGCGGUGAAAUGCGUAGAUAUUAGGAGGAACACCAGUGGCGAAGGCGGCUUGCUGGACUGUAACUGACACUGAGGCUCGAAAGCGUGGGGAGCAAACAGGAUUAGAUACCCUGGUAGUCCACGCCGUAGACGAUGAAUACUAGGUGUCGGGGCACAUAAGUGCUCCGGUGCCGCAGCAAACGCAAUAAGUAUUCCACCUGGGGAGUACGUUCGCAAGAAUGAAACUCAAA
rnacentral:rRNA from 1 species